AGAGUUUGAUCMUGGCUCAGAGUGAACGCUGGCGGCGUGCUUAACACAUGCAAGUCGAACGAGAACGGAUUAUAGCUUGCUAUAAUUGUCAGCUAAGUGGCGCACGGGUGAGUAAUAUAUAGGUAAUGUGCCCUAGAGAAGAGGAUAACAGUUGGAAACGACUGCUAAGACUCUAUAUGCCUUUAAGACAGAAGUCUGCAAGGGAAAUAUUUAUAGCUCUAGGAUCAGCCUGUACAGUAUCAGUUAGUUGGUGAGGUAAUGGCUCACCAAGACAAUGACACUUAACUGGUUUGAGAGGAUGAUCAGUCACACUGGAACUGAGACACGGUCCAGACUCCUACGGGAGGCAGCAGUGGGGAAUAUUGCACAAUGGACGAAAGUCUGAUGCAGCAACGCCGCGUGGAGGAUGACACAUUUCGGUGCGUAAACUCCUUUUAUAUGGGAAGAUAAUGACGGUACCAUAUGAAUAAGCACCGGCUAACUCCGUGCCAGCAGCCGCGGUAAUA
rnacentral:rRNA from 1 species